rnacentral:misc_RNA from 1 species
GCCAGCGCGAUUGCAAAAUGUCCAAUUCUAAAGCUGCCAUUUUGUUUUAUUGAUAUUUGAUAAAUUAGUCUCGUUUUCUUUUUCUGAAUAUUUGUAUUUUUGUGUUAAAAUUUUGUGUUUUAUAUAAUCUUUAAUAAUCCCACUGUGAUCUGAACUAAUUAGUCUUUAAAUUACGUCCGUUAAGUAACCCGCAAAAUGGGCCGUAAGAAGAAGAAGCAAGCAAAACCUUGGUGCUGGUAUUGUAAUAGGGAAUUUGAUGACGAAAAAAUUCUUAUACAACAUCAAAAAGCAAAGCACUUUAAGUGCCACAUUUGUCACAAGAAGUUGUAUACAGGUCCUGGCUUAUCCAUACAUUGUAUGCAAGUUCAUAAGGAAACCAUUGACAAAGUUCCCAACUCAUUGCCGAACCGUUCCAAUGUUGAUAUAGAGAUUUAUGGAAUGGAGGGUAUCCCUCCAGCAGACCUAAAAGAGCAUGAAAGGCAAAAACAAAACAGCAGGGGAGCAGAUUCCUCAGAUGAGGAUGAGCCCGCCAAUAAAAAAAUGAAACCUGAAGGUUUAUUGGGCAAUGCUCCUCCUGGUAUGGCAGCUGCUAUGCCACAUGGCAUGAUGCAAGGUAUGAUGCAUCCGCCCCCAGGUAUGCCACCUGGAAUGCAAAUGAUGUCUAUGGGCCAUAUGGGCGGACCUCCAUUUAUGCAUCCUGGAAUGCAGCCUAUGUUACCCCCUCAUAUGAUGAUGCAGGGGCAGGGCCCUCCAAAACCUUUAUUUCCAAGUGCUGUACCGUCUUCAUCUCCUGGAGCUGCCGUUGUGGGUGCCGAUUUUAAACCAAUUAAUUCAGUGUCCGGAGCCACCAUAAGCGCACCACCCACAACUCACUCCGCGGGUCCUAGUGAUACGUCCAAAAUAAAUACCAUCGCGGCCACUGGUGCUUCUAGCAAGAUCAUACACCCUAUAGAGGAUAUUUCCUUAGAAGAAAUACGAUCUAGAAAUCCGAAAUAUUCGAGACUGAAAAAUGAUGAACGGGGGUCGAGUGCAAAUUCAGUAGCAUCAGAUAUGUCAGCAUCCGUCGUAGCCACACAACAAGCAGUAGCAGCGUCACAGGCCGCAGCUAUGCAUGCAAAAGCACAAGAGGCGCAACACCAGCAUAUGGCAAUGAUGGGACGGAUGGCAGCCGCUGCAAGUGCAGCAGCAGCAUUUCCUGUACGGGUUUCAGGCCCGCCAAUAGCUGUGAUGGCAGGUGGUCCAGUAAUGACCGGACCGACGAUGAGCGUUCUGCGGGGGCCCCUGAUAGGCGGGCCCCUUAUGAGACCACCUCACCAGUUUGGUAUGCCUCCAGGUAUGUACCAAUACUGAAGCGAGUUUAUGUGGUGAAUAAUGCGUUUUUUUAAGAUACCAAACUUUUUCGGGUUUUUCUCAAUUUCAAUUAGUCUCACUUGAUUUUACAGGGUGCCUUACUACAUUAUUUGUUUUUAAUCUGGAAUUUGUAAAUUUUGGAUUUUUUUUUCUUAAAAAAACUAGUUAAAGCAUUAAAAGCAAAAAAAAUCCAAGAAAAUGAUAUAAAUUCAUAUCAAAAGUAUAUAUCAUUUCAAUUACAUGCUUGUGAAACCUUGAGUUUCUUAAUGAAACUUUGGGAAUGAAUGACUUAUAAGAAUUACGAUACGUGUAAUACGUACUCGUUUCUAUAGUAAGUCGACUUGUUAGGUUUUGGUGUUGUACAGGGGAAAUGGUAUAAUUUUGUUUGGGCAAUUUAAAAAAGUGUCAAAAUUAAAGUAUUUACUUUGCGCUUAACUAGAUUUUUUGAUUGGAAUUAAUUAAAGAUAUCAUUAACAGUUAUUAAUUUUUAAGAUCCCAUAUUCUUGGCACCCUGUUAAAUUAAUUUUUUCAAGUGAGAUAUUUGUUAAUUGAAAUUGGAAAUUUUUUAAAUCCAAACUUAAGGACUUUAAGAAAUGAGAGUAACGUUAGUCGUAGAGUAAUCAAAUUACGCUAAUAGACUGUCCGAUUUUAUUUUGAUACUUUUUUUUAUAUAUUUUUUUACUAUUAUUAAUUUUAAGAAUUAUGACGCAAAAGCUUUUCAUGGCAUAACAGGAGAAUCAAAAUUAUUACUAAUAUAGAAAAAGUUGCAUUAAAACCAAGAAAUAGGUAUAAUUUUAGAAUUCUCUGUAUCUGUGCGAAGUUAUUAAAAUAUUUUAGGGCCUAAGCCUAGUUUGUAAGGCCUUAAAAUACUAAGAGGGAACAAUUUAUGUUUUAACAUUUUCUAGAAGAAAGUUUCAUUUAUAUAUGUACUAGACAGAUAGGUGUAGUACUGAUAAUAUUUAUUUUAUACAUAAAAUGUGUAUCUUUUGUUGCACUAUAAAGGAAUAAAAUUUGUUAUUUGCAGCAAAAAAUUAAGUUUUUCUUUGGUUUGUAUUUAGAUUUAUUUAUUAGGAAUUCAGUUUAUAAAAAUUUGCGUGAAUUUAGUUGGCGUGGGUGGCAAGACGUUAUGACUUUUCUGAAGAAAAUGCUGAAUAUUUAAUUUAUAUUGAGACAUUUGAAAAAUACUUACAAUUAUUCUCUUUCGAUUGCAGUAUGCAAAAAAUGUAUUUAUUAUUUUUGUUAAUGUAAUAUAACUGAGUGUGUUAUUCCUGGAUUAAUAAACUGGCUAAAACAACACAACUUUCUUCUGCCUAUUGUCCAGUCAAUAAAAAAUUUUGAAAGUGCACUAAUUCAAACUACUUAAAAGUCAAUUUUUGUAGUAUACUGAGAAAAAAAAAUGUUUGUUAUGUGCUAGGUAAGCAAUUUUAGCUGUCCUUAAUGUGGUCAAUGUGUUAUAUUCUGUAGAAUGGACACUGAAUUCUUUAGAAGAUUUCAAUGGCUGCAGAUCUUGUUGGAGCAUAUAAAAUCUUGACUAUGACCAAUACGUUUGUUCCUCUCAGGCUUCGCCACUUAUAUUUACCUAUGAUAUUAUGUGUGUUAUUAUAUCUAUAUAUAUUUAAUACAGGGAGUAGUGUCCAAACUUUAACAGCGCCUUCUAUCUUCAGAAUAAGCCUUAAUUUUCUUUAUAAACUUAUAUGGAAAAACACUUCGUUUUUGGAACAGAUAAUCGUAAAGUUUUUAAGAAGAAAAAUGUUUUUUUUAGUAGUAAUUUUUUUAUUACUUGAAUAACAAAGAGCAUUUUUUGGUCAAAAAAUUUGAUUAGAUUUGACCCCACCGAUAAACUCAACGUACGUGAUUUUUAAUUGAAUAUUCUUGAUUAAAAAUGGUCGCCACUGCUUUUUCUAGAAAUAAUUAUUUCUUAAAUCUUUGCUCAGUUUGGAGAUAAUUUGAUUCCUUACCUUUAUUUCGUAUGAUGCAAGAUUUUCGAGUGGAAAAAUAAAAUCUCAUGUAGGUUCUAUGUCAAUUUACAUCCAAGAGUUUUCUUGGAGAAGAAUUGCACUACCUAAAGUAAAAUAUGACUAGAGAUGUGUUACAUAUCCAUGAACCUGAGCCAGAAACUCAUAAUUCACUGUCAAAAACGUUUGAUUAAUUGAUGAAUUCCAUCCAUUGGAAGAGUGCACCAAAGCAAAAACUGUAAAAUAUUCCAAUGAUUAUUAGUAUCAUUUUACUGAACCCAUCUGAAUGAUGAAUAAUUGUUGAAUGUAUUGGAAUUUUCAGCUCUCUUCAAAAGCUUAAAUCAUUUGUAAGAAAAGGAAAUUAAAAGUUAAGUACUCUUAGGACCAAAAUGUCAAACAUCUUAUGUAAGACCAAAAGUUCCCAGAAGUCAAAAGGAGUUAAUAAAAAGCCAAUGAAGUGUCCUUGUCUCAUAGACAUGUCCUUAAGAAAGCUGUAAAGCGUAAAUAGAUUCUGAUAUACUGAUAUGAACCAAAAGUUCACAAAAGGAUCCUAAUAAAUUUCUGGCGCCUCACCUAGAGACCAAAGAAUGGCAAUAAGCCAUCUUGGUUUUACGCCUUGGAUUAGGUCUAAAGAAAUUGAACUCGUCUCAUCCUGGUCUGAAUUAAUUGAAGAGUUUUCUUACGGAAUAUUCAAACUUCUCGAAGAAAUUUUUAGCUGGAGCUGAUAUUCGUAACUACUGACAAGGCCGGAUAUUCACUUAAGAAUCUUGAUGGAUUUCUGGAGGCUUACCAAGAGUUAUCAGAAGCCAAAAGAACUUGAAAAUGUCAAUUAGUUCAAUGUCUGUAGAUUAGGUGUAAAGGUGUUAGCUUAUCUCAUUUUUCUCCUAAUGAAAUUAACAACUUUCUUGCAGAAUAUCCAAACUUCUCGAAGGAUAUUUUACCUGGAGCUGAUAUUCAUGGUCAUAGAAGUCUACCAAACUCGAGAGUUCACUCUCAAAAAACGGCUGCUUAUUGAACGAAUUAUGUGCAUUGGAAGUUCUAAUAGGAAUCAGAAAUUCAUAUAAGGGUAUUAAUGGAUUUCUAGAGCCUCACAGAGUUAUCACAGGCUGAAGAACUUGGAAAUGUCAAUGAGCCAUCUUAGUUUCACGUCUUCCACUAGGUGUAAAGAGCUUGACCUUUUUUCGCGCUGUUCAAGUUGCGAACACUGCAAUUCAGGACCUCCUUAUAGAUCCCUAUCCCCUUCGUACAUCCUUGCGAUGUUGCACUUAGUAAUUCAAUUGCCAAGUGUAGAUUUCGCGAUAAAUAACAUUUAAUUUGAGUUUUGUUAUGCAGUCAACAACAGAUUUCAAGAUACCAGAUCCGUUUCUGCGCUAACCAAAAAAGUUUAUUGGGUAGGUAAAUGGUCUUCCUAGUAAAUACUUGGAUUUACAGGGUGCCCCAUGAUGAACUGAUAGAGUCGAUUUCUUGAUUGGUAAACUUUGGACAUUUGUUGAUUAAUUUAUAAAAAUGCAUCUUUUAGAAAUUUUAAGUAAUGCUUUAUAAAACCGGCAACUUCUUUGUUAUUUUUAAUAGAUCAUUUCAUAGAUAUUUUAGAGGAAAUUGAAGUUAGGUUUCUGGAAAACCAAAAUCUUCUUUAGCACGAGUAGACUAUUAAUAUUUGACAAUAAAUUCAGUGCUUAGAAAUUCGCCUAAAAAGUUAUAUUGACAAAAACUUUGUUUCUGAUUGAAAAAAGGAGGGUUUUAUUUUAUUAGCAUAUUUAGAAUUUAAAAAAUAUACGAGUAUAUAAAUUUGUCUAUUCCAAAAUUUCAUAGUUUUCGAAAUAUUGGCUAUUUACUUAUUUAUUCGAAAAAUAAAGUAUUGUUUAUUGUUUUACAUAAAAUCUAAAAUUAUUCAAUAACGGUUAUACUUAAGCUUGUAAAGUUCCUGUGGGCCUAGAAUUUACAUAGAAUGUAACAAAAUAUAAUAAUGGGCUUCCAUUUAAAUAAAGACUUACAUAUUUUAUGGUUUUAUGUAGAACUAGCAAGAUCUACUCGAAUAUGUUUAAAAGAUUGAUUUUUAUCUUUAAUCGGCAUUGCUAAUUCUUUACAGAUUUCCAAUGCCUAUUUUUCAAGAAAUCGUUGGCUGCAGUUUAUCGUACGACUCCACCCAAUGAUAUCUACCCACUUCCUAUAUCCAUAACUUGUAAAGGCAGUUUAUUUGUAAUAUUUUGUCUUAUUUAAUGCAACUAAGCAAUUAUAUACAGCAUUUUUUUGAGAAAACGUCAUAUUAUAAAAAAAUAGAACUUAAAAAGAACCAAGACAUUGUUCUCAUUUAACUCGUGUAUAGUGUACAGUGUUGUCCCGUUGUCCAUGGGCUGAUCUUUUGGGACGACCGAGCAGGUAUGAUUCAGAUGCCGCACGGAAUGAUGUACGGGGCUCCCAUGUUCCCCACCGGCCCCAUGUACAUGCAGCCCCGUUUCAGAUGAUCCUCAGUUAUGAUCCUCUACCAUCCGCAAGUUUAAUUUUUAAAUUAAGUGCCACCCAUUUUUUUUUAAAUAGAUUUAAGGAUGAGAUGACGGCUUUAAGAAAAAAUGUUAAUUCACUUAUUUCGAAAUUUGUGUUCUUAUAUUUUCCUUUUUAUAUAUAAUAAAGAGAGAAAUAGUAAACACUAGUAACUUCA